ensembl:lncRNA
ACAUUAGAGAGGAGGAGGAGGAGGAGGAGGAAGAGGAGGAGGAGGAGGAGGAGGAGGGAGAACCAGUUAGGUAUAGCGACAUUAGAGAGGAGGAGGAGGGAUUACCAGUCAAGCAUAUAUACAUUAUAGAGAAUAGGAGAAGGGAAAACCAGUAUAGCAUACAUACAUUAGAGAGGAGGAGAGAGAACCAGUCUAGUAUAGAUACAUUAGAGAGGAGGAGGAGGGAGAACCAGCCUAGUAUAGAUACAUUAGAGAGGAGGAGGAGGGAGAACCAGUCUAGUAUAGCUACAUUAGAGAGGAGGAGGGAGAACCAGUCUA